rnacentral:rRNA from 1 species
UCAAUCCUACGGGGGGCAGCAGUGAGGAAUAUUGGUCAAUGGGCGCGAGCCUGAACCAGCCAAGUCGCGUGAGGGAUGACGGCCCUACGGGUUGUAAACCUCUUUUGUCGGGGAGCAAAUUCCGUUACGUGUAACGGAGUCGAGAGUACCCGAAGAAAAAGCAUCGGCUAACUCCGUGCCAGCAGCCGCGGUAAUACGGAGGAUGCGAGCGUUAUCCGGAUUUAUUGGGGUUAAAGGGUGCGUAGGCGGACUGUCAAGUCAGCGGUCAAAUACGGGGGGUCAACCUCC